UACAGGGGGUGCAAACGUUGCUCGGAAUUAUUGGGCGUAAAGCGCGCGUAGGCGGCUACUUAAGUCGGAUGUGAAAGCCCUCGGCUUAACUGAGGAAGUGCACCCGAAACUGAGUAGCUAGAGUACUAAAGAGGGUCGCGGAAUUCCCGGUGUAGAGGUGAAAUUCGUAGAUAUCGGGAGGAACACCGGUGGCGAAGGCGGCGACCUGGGUAGAUACUGACGCUGAGGCGCGAAAGCGUGGGGAGCAAACAGG
rnacentral:rRNA from 1 species